rnacentral:lncRNA from 1 species
AAUGAGGGUAAAUUCAACAAAAGACCUUGGAAGACUGAGAAAAUAAUGGCAGAGAUCAAAACAAGAAUCUGGGGGUGGUCGCUGGCGUUUAAUCAGAAGACAUAACCAGACGAGUUCAGGAGAUGGUUCUUUGGGGUGAAAUUGUGUGGCUAAGUCAGGUGUUUCUUCCUUCGUUUUUCUCUUCUACUUUUUGUGUUUCGUUUUUUUUUUUUUUUUUCCAGCUGUGUUUUUGGUGGGGUACCUCUGGUACCUUUGCUUUCUUCAUUUAUAAAAGUUUUUUUCCUUUGCCUGAUCAAAAAAAACUACUCUAUGCUCUAACAUAUGAGAAGUUGUGGCUCUGUUUUUUCUAUCUCUAAAUUGG